AUUGAACGCUGGCGGCAUGCCUUACACAUGCAAGUCGAACGGCAGCGCGGACUUCGGUCUGGCGGCGAGUGGCGAACGGGUGAGUAAUACAUCGGAACGUACCCUGUUGUGGGGGAUAACUAGUCGAAAGAUUAGCUAAUACCGCAUACGACCUGAGGGUGAAAGUGGGGGACCGGAAACGGCCUCAUGCAGCAGGAGCGGCCGAUGUCUGAUUAGCUAGUUGGUGGGGUAAAGGCCCACCAAGGCGACGAUCAGUAGCUGGUCUGAGAGGACGAUCAGCCACACUGGGACUGAGACACGGCCCAGACUCCUACGGGAGGCAGCAGUGGGGAAUUUUGGACAAUGGGGGCAACCCUGAUCCAGCAAUGCCGCGUGUGUGAAGAAGGCCUUCGGGUUGUAAAGCACUUUUGUCCGGAAAGAAAUCGCGCUGGUUAAUACCUGGCGUGGAUGGCGGUACCGGAAGAAUAAGCACCGGCUAACUACGUG
rnacentral:rRNA from 1 species